rnacentral:rRNA from 1 species
GAUGAACGCUGGCGGCGUGCCUAAUACAUGCAAGUCGAACGAAUCUUCUUCGGAAGAUGAGUGGCGAACGGGUGAGUAAUACAUAGGUAACCUGCCCCUGUGCGGGGGAUAACAGGAGGAAACUCCUGCUAAUACCGCAUAGCCAUGAGCACCGCAUGGAGCUCAUGCCAAAUAUCCUUUCGGGGAUAGCGCAGGGAUGGACCUAUGGCGCAUUAGCUGGUUGGCGGGGCAACGGCCCACCAAGGCAACGAUCCGUAGCCGGCCUGAGAGGGCGGACGGCCACAUUGGGACUGAGACACGGCCCAGACUCCUACGGGAGGCAGCAGUAGGGAAUUUUCGGCAAUGGGGGAAACCCUGACCGAGCAACGCCGCGUGAGCGAAGAAGGCCUUCGGGUCGUAAAGCUCUGUUGUAAAGGAAGAACGGGGCAUACAGGAAAUGGUAUGCGAGUGACGGUACUUUACCAGAAAGCCACGGCUAACUAUGUGCCAGCAGCCGCCGUAAGAC